GGCUUUUGAGAGAGGUCCAAGUCUGAGAUUUUUUAUUUUAUUUAUUUAUUUAAAAAAAAAAUUUCUUUGUUUUUUUUGUUUCGUUUUUCGUUUUUUUAUUUGUUUCGUUUUUCGUUUUUUUGUUUUUGCAGGAUACGUGGGCUUCGCCUAGCGAGCAUGAUAGCUCAUGAACAAACCUUUGCUCCUUCAAGAUUAACGUUUUGACGGACAAAUAGA
rnacentral:lncRNA from 1 species